AGCGAACGCUGGCGGCAGGCCUAACACAUGCAAGUCGAACGGAUCCUUCGGGAUUAGUGGCGGACGGGUGAGGAACACGUGGGAACGUGCCUUUUGGUUCGGAACAACUCAGGGAAACUUGAGCUAAUACCGGAUGUGCCCUUCGGGGGAAAGAUUUAUCGCCAUUAGAGCGGCCCGCGUCUGAUUAGCUAGUUGGUGGGGUAAAGGCUCACCAAGGCUACGAUCAGUAGCUGGUCUGAGAGGAUGAUCAGCCACACUGGGACUGAGACACGGCCCAGACUCCUACGGGAGGCAGCAGUGGGGAAUCUUGCGCAAUGGGCGAAAGCCUGACGCAGCCAUGCCGCGUGAAUGAUGAAGGUCUUAGGAUUGUAAAAUUCUUUUACCCGGGAUGAUAAUGACAGUACC
rnacentral:rRNA from 1 species